AGUAAAGAAGCGAAGCUAAGCGGCGCUGGUGAAGCGGCUCAUCAGGUCUAUCAGGAAACCUGAGAAUUGGAGUGAGAAUCCCAGUGUGGAAAAUCAGGAAAGAGGCUGGUAUGAGCGACAGAGAAGUCAUUCAGGAAAGAGGUUAUUGAAUUCAUUGGAGAAUGAAUGCUGUUCUGAAUUUGUUUCCACACAGAGCCCACCAGAAGUAUGUCAGACAAGCCUGGCAGAAGGCAAACAUCAAUACAAAAUGGGCAGCCACACGAUGGGCCAAGAAGAUUGAAGCCAGAGAAAGGAAAGCCAAGAUGACAGAUUUUGAUCAUUUUAAAGUUAUGAAGGCAAUGAGGAACAGAAUAAUCAAGAAUGAAGUUAAGAAGCUUCAAAAGGCAGCUCUCCAAAAGCUUCUCCCAAAAAAGCACCUGCUGCGAAGCGUGCUACUGCUGCUGCAGCUGCUGCUAAAGUUCUAGCAAAAAGAUGACCGCUGCAGGCAAGAAGGCUCCAGCUUAGAAGCUUCCUGCCCAGAAAGCCACAGGCCAGAAGGCAGCGCCUCCUCCAAAAGCUCAGAAGGGUCAAAAAGCUCCAGCCCAGAAAGCACCUGCUCCAAAAGCGUUUGGCAAGAAAGAGGUGAUUAGAAAAGUAAUAAAAGUUCUAUUUGGGAAAAAAAAAAAAAAAAGAAAGAAAGAAAAGGAGGCACCCAAGAUUGCAAGCAAGGCUCUAAAAUGCUAGGCUGCUCAUGGAUUUUUAAAAUUGCAUUAUACAAACAUGAUCUUUACAGUUUUCUGUUUCCCUGGUAACCAUUUAUGAUAAAAAUAAUCAACUUGUUAGAGUUCCUCUGUCAGCUUUUGUCAGGAUCUGGGAUGUUACCCUACAGUUGACCCUUGAAUAAUGUGGGGCUUAGGAGGUGCCAAUACCCUGUGUAAUGGAAAAUCCAUGUAUAACUUUUGACUCCCCCAAAGUAUAAUUGCUAAUAACCUAUGUUGACUGGAAGCACUACCAAUAACAUAAACAGUCAAUUAACACAUAUUUUGUAUAUAUGUUGUAUUCUUACAAUAAAGUAAGCUAGAGAAAAGAAAAUGUUAUUAAGAAAGUAAGAAGGAAGAGAAAAUAUAUUUACAUUACGUGGAAGUGGGUCAUCAUGAAAGUCUUCAUCUUCUUCAUUUUCACAUUGAACAAGCUGAGGAGAAGGAGGAAGAGAAGGGGUUGGUCUUCCUGUCCCAGAGGCAACAGAGGCAGAAGAGAUGGAGGAGAAAAAGGGAGGAAGGAGAGUCAGACACUCAGUGAAACUUUAUGAAAAUACAUUGUAAUUUCUGUCUGACUUUUUGCUCCUUUUCAUUUCUCUUAGAAUGUUUCUAUAUGGUAACACCUUUCUUCCACUGCUUUGGUUUCAGUGCCUUUAUCAAAGAAGUUUCAGUGCCUGUAUCAUAGAAGCCAUGCCAUUCUUUUUGUCCAAGAAGUCAAAAGCAGUCUUGAAUAACUGGAACCCUUCUGCCAGAUUGUCUAAUGUCAAUUUUUCUGGCACUGCCUCUUCUAUGUCUUCUUUCUCAUCAUGUGGCACUGGUUUGAAAGCACCAAUCUCCACCAUGUCUUCUUCUGUUAAUUCCUCUGCUGUGGUAUCUGUUAGCUCUUACAUUUCUCCAAGAUCCAGAUCUUGAAACCCUUCACUUUUCACUUUUUUUUUUUUUUUGCCAUAUCCAUAUCUUUCAUGAUUUCUUUGAUUGGCUCUGUGGUAAAUCCUGUGAAGUCAUGCACAAUAUCUGGAUAGUUUUCUUCAGCAGGAAUUUAUUAUUUCAAUCUUGAUGACCUUCACAACUUUUUUUUAUAACAACGAUGACAUCUUCAAUGGUGUAAUCAUUCCAGACUGUCAUGAUGCUCUCUCUAUCAGAAUUCUCUUCCAUGGCAUUGACAGUCCUUUCCAUUGAGUACCCUGUGUAAUAAGGCUUAAGGGUUCUUAAGAGCCAAGGAUCUAGAAGCUGAAUUAAAGACAUUGUGUUUGGGGGCAAGUAGACCACAUUGACAGCUUCAGUUUUGACCUCAUGGGGUUCUGGGUGGCCAGAGGCACUGUCCAAUAUCAGAAAAAAAUUUAAAGGUAGUCCCUAUGGGCAAGGUAAUUCCUGACUUCAGGGACAAAGCAUUGAUGGAAACAAUCCAGAAAAAGGGUUCUCAUUGUCUGGGCCUUCUUGUUGUACAGCCAUUAAGACUGGCAGCUGAUGUUUUUCUUUUCCCUUCAAGGCUCAGGGAUGAGCAGCUUUAUAGAUAAGGGCAGUCCUGAUCAUAACCCCCCUGCAUUUGCACAAAACAGUAUAGGUAGCCUAUCCCUUCCUGCCUUAAAUCCUGGUGCUCACUUCUCUUCCUUACUAAUAAAUGUCCUUUGUGGAUUUUUUUUCCAGAAUAGGGCACUUUGAUCUGCAUUAGAAACCUGUUCAGGCAGAUAUUCUGUCUCCUCAAUGAUUUUCUUAAUGGCAUCUGGAAACUUGUCUGCUGUCUCUUGAUUGGCAGAAGCUUCUUCUUUAAUUAUCUUGACAUUUUUAAAGCCAAACCUCUUCCUAAAAUUAUUAAGCCAUCCUUUGCCAGCAUUAAAUUCUUCAGGUUUACAUCCUUCGCCUUCCUUUUGCUCUAAGUUGUCAUAUAAUGACUUCGCUUUUUCUCAAAUCACAUCACAGUAGGUAUGCCUUUCUUAUAGCAAUCCUGCAUUCCCACAGAAAAACUGCAUUUUCAAUACUAGAUAAAAAGGUAUUUUGCAAAAAGUGUAAGUUUUUCAUGCUUGCUGGUGUAGCUGCAGUGAUAGCUUCAUGAAUUUCCUUUUCUUUUUUUACAAUCUUUCUUAAGCUGAAUUCAUUUAUCUUGAAACGGUGGGCAACCACAGCUGCAGACUUCAAUCUGCAAUACAUAUCAAGCAAUUCAACUUUGUCUUGUAAUGUCAUGAAUUUUCUCUGCUUCUUGGGAGCACUUCCAGCAUCACUAGUGGCACUUUGUAUGGGUGCCAUGGUGUUAUUCAAGGUUUACAGUAUUGCACUAAACACAAUGAAAAAACACUAGAGAACCACAAGAGAUUACUUUUUACUGCUAUAGGCAAUUUACCAGAGAGAUGAACUGCUCACACAGAGAUAAUUAGCAUCCCAUGGCAUUUUAAGUGGAUACUCACAGCACUUAAGCUCACAGCAAUAGCAGCAGGAAGUGGCUGUGAAAUUAUGAUGGUAGUACAGUAUGUACUACAGUUAAUUUUAUGCACUUAUGGUUUAAUACAGCAUCUGUACAUUUGUUUACAUUUCUCUCAACUGCAAAUGGUGCCAUGUGUGCUCUGUAAGCAUGUGCAUAAGUUUUGAUAAAUUGUAACUUUUUAUAAUAGAUUUGUGAUAUUUUAUGGUAAUAGUAACACAGACUAGUAUCUACAUAUGUUUAUGCAUUUGUGACAUACCUAAUUUUUUAUAUAUUUCUAGGCUAUGAAGUUUGUGAAUUUUUCCAAAUUGUCACAAUCUCCAAAAAAUUUUCCAUUAUAUUUACUGAAAAAAAUGCAUACAAGUGGACUCAUGCAGUUCAAACCCAUGGUGUUCAAAGGUCAGCUGCACUUACAAGCUAACGAUUGCCUGUUUCAUGAAUGCUGGCGGAAGACAUGAGAUGUCUGGGUCAGAGUCUAAGGACUCUCUUACUCCCAGCUCAUCAUGAGCUUCAUGCUGAUUUGUUGCUGUUACCUAUGUCCCCCAAGUCCCACAGGGAUGAGGCAGAGGGCCCCUGUAGAUGCCUAUACAUGCAGCGGGUUAUAAUAUAGGAGAGGAACAUUGAGUUUGGGGAAUCUUUGGCUUUUAUGGCAAGUGGAAGCAAGCUUGCUCUUUAACCAGAGAGGCAUUACCUCAUCCCUUAAAGUUGCUCUCUGAAAACAUACCUGAGUAAAGCCUGGGUUGACUGUAUUCUUGGCAUACCAGCAAGAAUAUGCAAUGACACUCAGGGCCCAUCCCAGUUUGCUUCUCCCAAAAACCUCUAAAUUGAAUGAUCUUUAGUUCUGUGUCAAACUCCUGUUUUUCUUCCUCCUUCCUUAUAUAGUAUCCUAAGGGAAAUACCACAAAAUGUCUCAGAAAAUGUUGGUUGGAUAUCUAAAGUUUAAAAAGGAAGAGAACCACACCAGCUGGAGAUUAAAGAAGCAUCAGUAGAAGUCAGUGGCCAUUAAUAGAAAUAUUUUUAAAAUAAGUCAAGUAGUAUUUUUGUAGCUCCCUCCCUAACCUUUCUUUUCCACUAUUUGACCAAACCCUACAACAAUAAGAAGUAACAGCUGGGCACAGUGGCUCACGCCUGUAAUCCCAGCACUUUUGGUGGCUGAGGUGAGCAGAUCACUUGAGGUCAGGAGUUCCAGACCAACUUGGCCAAUAUAGUGAAACCCUGUCUGUAAUAAAAAUACAAAAAUUAGCCGGGCAUGGUGGCUUGGCCUGUAGUCUCAGCUACUUGGGAGGCUGAGGCAGGAGAAUCGCUUGAACCCAGGAGGUGGAGGUUGCAGUGAGCCAAGAUCACACUACUGCACUCCAGCCUGGGCAGCAGAGCGAGACUCUCACAAAAAAAAAAAAAAAAGAAGAAGAAGAAGAAGAAGAAGUAAGGACACACCUGUCUUUAGCCGGUCUUUAGUUUGUUUUAAAACAAUUGCUUAAAAUUAGUAAUUACCAGGAUAGUUAGUAACACUCAUCGCAGUGAAGCAAAUCAUGCCCAGUGUGAAGCAAAGAUAUGGCCAGGCUCUCUCUUUCCUUCUUCAGUGAAGGCAGAAAACUAAAGAAAGCCUUGCUACUAAGGGAUAGGGGCUGUGUCUGUGUCGUGCUCAGAAUCACUCUCAGUGUCUGCUCUAAAGGCUGAUGACAACCAAUUUAAAUCAAGUUCAAGUCCCCUUCAGCCUUAGAAGAAAUAGCUCCUCAAGUUAUUGAAAGAGCCCAGAAUUCCUUGCAACUCAUUCUUUAUUAUAGAAUUAUGAGUUCUAGAGUUUGUAGAUUUUCUUUUUGUACUACAUGAAGCGCAUUACAAGAAAGUAUCUUGUAGCUUUCAUUUUGGGAGAAAAUAGAUGUAGUCCUCAGAGGUAUUCUGAAUCCAUUCUUGUCACUCACAGAAGUUUCUUCACAGGAGAUCUCCAUGACUCUUUACGUUUCAAGGUAUUAAUUUUACUUGGAGCAUUGUUUGUCCCACCCAAAGAGUUUUACGUUAAAAUACAUUAUUUUAUUUAUUUAGAGAGAGGAUCUCACUUUGUCACCAAGGCUGGAGUGCAGUGGCACAGUCAUGGCUCACUGCAGCCUCAACUUCCUGGGCUCAAGUGAUUCUCUUGCCUCAGCCUCUCAAAUAGCUGGGACUACAGGCACAGAACCAUGCCUCGCUAAUCUUAUUUCUUGUAGAGAUGAGGUCUCAUUAUAUUGCCCAGGCUGGUCUCAAACUCCUGGGCUCAAGUGAUCCUCCCACCCUGGCCUUCCAAAAUGUUGAGAUCACAAGUGUGAGCCACUGCGCUGGCCUAAAAUACAGUUUAAUAGAGUUUUUCCUAACAAGCACCAUUGGCCGCAACUGAAGUCAGCAUUUUAACAUUGUCACGUGACAGUCAGUUCUAGCUUUGAUAUAAAAGUCCUAAAGUGUACUCUUAGCAUCACUUUCCAGAAAAAAAAAAAAAAACCCACUGCCGUGCUGCAAGGGACCAUUGACAGAAAUGGUGAUUACAGUGCCUGUCCCUACAGGUCUGUCAGCAAGAUAAAAUAAGAAAAUCUGAGAGAAGUUGCCUGGCAUGGUGUCAGUACUCUUGGCAUACCAGCAAAAAUAUGUAGCGAAACUCAGGGCCCAUCCCAGCCUGCUUCUCCCAAAAACCUCUAAAUGGAAUAAUCUUUAGUUCUGUGUCAAAUUCCUAUUUUUCUUCCUCCUUCUUUAUACAGUAUCUUAAGGGAAAUACUACAAAAUGUCGCAGAAGGUGCUGGAUGGAUAUCUAAAGUUCAAAAAGGAAGAGAACCACACGAGCUGGAGAUUCAGGAAGCAUCAGUAGAAGUCAAUGGCCAUUAAUAAAAACAUUUUUUAUUAAAAUAUUGAAUCUGAAUAGAAACCUCCUGUACUUCAUUUCUUAAAUCCCUUGAGGGUAGUAACUGCAUCUUCUCCAUUGAUAUAGCCCCUGCCAAGCACAGUGCCUGAAGGCAGGUCCACAGACAUUGGCUGAAUAAACGAGUGCUCUGUUCCCAGUCCGUACUUUCUCUGUGUCAUAAAAAAGCUGACAUGUCUGUGCUGCAUUUGAGGAUGACACUGGAUUUCCACAUUGCCUUUUCGCCUCAGAGCUUAUAUUACUUCCUAUCAAGUUAUCUCUCUGCCCCUCAUCGCAUCCCAGUGAGAAAGCAGAAAAUCCUAGAAAGUCAUUUUCCUUACUGUUCCGGUGGUGGCUCUUCACGCUUACAGAACGUUAGGUACACUGGGAACAUCACCUAGAGGGACACUGACAUCACCUCAUCAUAACAUAUGUCUCUGACAACUGUCAGGAGAUAUUCCAAGUAAAUGAAAAGACACCGUGAAUGCCACUUAGGGGUUCUACACAGGGAACUAUUAGUGACAAAAGCCUAUUUAUUCUCUUUGAGAUGGUAUGCUGGUGACCUCUAGUGGCAAAAUUGGUUCAAAAUCAGCUUCUAUUUCCCACAAAAUUUACUUCUUUAUUAAUUCAUACUUUAAUUUUAUCCUUUAGUAACAUUCUCUACUUGUGGAAUGUUCUUAAUUAUGCACAAUGAUUUGUGUCUGUUCAUAUCCAAGUAGCACAAUUUUGGCAUUUCACGAAAUCACAGAACUGUUGAGCUGAAAUAGUUCUCAAGGGACCUGUCAGUCUUAUUUCAUUAUACCUGGAAAAUGAGACCCAGAGGAGUCAAGUGGCUUGCCUGAAGCCUCACCACAAGGGGGCGACAAAAAGUCUUCUGACUCUAGCACACUGCCUGCCUGGUAGUAGAACCCAAGCGACUAAAGAAAAAAUGGGAUCUUGUUUAGAGUUCCAUGCGGAGGAAGAGCAUGUAUGCUGUCCUAUCCCUCACUAUUGUAUCCUGGGUGUGUGAGGAGCCUUUAAUUCACAGGUCUUUAGAGAGAGUACAAAGCAUCUGAAGGACCAUCCCUGAGGAGCCUCACUCAUAUCUGCAUGGGCAUCUUUAGAUCCCACGUCUCCAGCCUGAGUCUGAUGUCAUAUUGAAUGAGACUUCUGGGGCGUCUUGAGAGAGUAAAUGUAUUUUGCAUUUGGAAGGAUGUAAAUUUAGAAGGAUAUAAAUAAUCUGUGUCCAGAGGACCAGCUGUGGUGAUUUUUUAAAUGGUCACAAAUCCCUUGACAUGCCCUCACAGACAUCCUCUCCUACGUUCCUUCCCCUUGAAGCUGAACAGGCUUGGGACUGCUUCCACCCAGAGAGUGUAAUGGAAGUGACGCUGUGUGACUUCUAAGAAUCAAUCAUAAAAAGUACACACAACCUUCCUUGUUGGUCUUAGAACAUUUACUCUAGGGAAAACUAGCCACCAAGAAGAAAUACAAUUCCCCCCAAACCACUAUACUGAAGAGACCAUAUGUAGGUGCUCAAAAUGACAGCUCCAGCUCAGCUCCCAGCCAGCAGCCAGCUUCCACCGUGGCUGUGUGAGUGAGCCACCUUGGAUACACAGCCUGUCUAACUUCAGAUGACCGCAGCCCCCACCCACAUCUGACUGUAGCUGCAGGAGAGACCCCUAAGGGAGAACUGCUCAGCUAAGCCCUUCCUGAAUCACUCAGCCACAAAAUAGUGAGCAAAAUGAAACGCUGUCGCUCUACAACACAAACUUGUGGGUAAAUUGUUACACAGCCAUAAUAUACAGAACAAAUAGUUUCUUAAAGACAUUUCUCUCAUUCUGUAACAAACACUGAAUGAAAAUGCAAAAUAUGUUAUAUACAUGUUAAAUCCUGGUGGAAUUGCACUUAAUCUGUUCAACUUUCAUAAAUCAAAGAGUUCUUGGUCCAAAUGAAUAGGUAUUCUAGGUGACAGAAAUAUAAGUUCUUCCUCUUUCUUGAAAUGGUGAUUCCAUUUAAUAGAAUGGUGAUUAAAAUGGAAUGGUGAUUCUAUUUUAAGAAGGCUAAGUAAAUUUUAUGCAGUUUUCCAAAGGGAAUUUUCUAUUUCAGAAUCCUAGCCUUUCUCAACCAGGUUUCCCCAAAUGAACCACAAAACACAGAAAAGGA
rnacentral:lncRNA from 1 species